UACGUAGGGGGCUAGCGUUGUCCGGAAUCAUUGGGCGUAAAGCGCGUGUAGGCGGCCCGGUAAGUCCGCUGUGAAAGUCCAGGGCUCAACCCUGGGAUGCCGGUGGAUACUGUCGGGCUCGAGUCCGGAAGAGGAGUGUGGAAUUCCUGGUGUAGCGGUGAAAUGCGCAGAUAUCAGGAGGAACACCAAUGGCGAAGGCAGCA
rnacentral:rRNA from 1 species